rnacentral:ribozyme from 1 species
CGGGGGCGGGCCGCCGCCCCUGCCCCUGCCGCGGGGAGCGCCGCGCGGAGGGCCGCCGCC